GUUCAAUUUGCUGUCAGUGCGCAUGCGAAGUCUCUUCACCUGUUUCAGCAAAUUUUAAUUCGAAGGUUUGUGUUUUGCUGUUUGUUGGACCUCUUGGUGAAAAGACCGAUUUCGCAAAACGCCUCCGCAGUGUGUAAGACCCAUGAAGGCCUGAUGUGAAGUGACUCAGCCCUGCUCUGAUGCUAAUUAUGGCCCACGGACAUUUAAAUACUCCAAAUCCAGAAGAAUCGUCACCUACAGUAAUCCUCCAGUCCUUUAUUUAGUCACCAGUAAAAUGCUUCACCCAGUUAAGAAGUCUGCUUUUCCAAUCAUAACCGUUUGCUGACAUCAUCAUUCUGCAUUCAUGGCACAGACCAAAUCCAACAUCCAGGCUGUAGGUAGUGCGCUUCACAGGACAUGGGAGCAACAGUCCCUUCUUAAGAGAAACUGAC